UACAGAGGGGGCAAGCGUUAUUCGGAAUUAUUGGGCGUAAAGGGCGCGUAGGCGGCUUGGCAAGUGGAAGGUGAAAUCCCUCGGCUCAACCGGGGAACUGCGUCCGAUACUGGAUGGCUUGAGUUCGGGAGAGGGAUGCGGAAUUCCAGGUGUAGCGGUGAAAUGCGUAGAUAUCUGGAGGAACACCGGUGGCGAAGGCGGCAUCCUGGACCGACACUGACGCUGAGGAGCGAAAGCCAGGGGAGCAAACGGG
rnacentral:rRNA from 1 species